rnacentral:tRNA from 1 species
CGUCGCUCUUUUUUAACAAAAAGAGAAGUCGUAACAUGGUAGCCUCAAUAGAAAUUGAGGCUUAAAGGGUAAU